rnacentral:rRNA from 1 species
AUUGAACGCUGGCGGCAGGCCUAACACAUGCAAGUCGAGCGGAGCGGCGGACGGGUGAGUAAUGCCAAGGAAUCUGCAUGGUAGUGGUGGAGAACGGCCGGAAACGGGCGCUAAUACCACAUACUAUCAGAUUAGCCUAGGUCGGAUUAGCGAGUUGGUGGGGUAAAGGCAUACCAAGGCGACGAUCCGUAACUGGUCUGAGUGGAUGAACAGUCAACCUGGAACUGAGACACGGUCCAGACUCCUACGGGAGGAAGCAGUGGGGAAUAUUGGACAAUGGGCGAAAGCCUGAUGCAGCCAUGCCGCGUGUGUGAAGAAGGUCUUCGGAUUGUAAAGCACUUUAAGCUGGGAGGCGUUACCAACAGAAUAAGCACCGGCUAACUUCGUGCCAGCAGCCGCGGUAAUUC